rnacentral:rRNA from 1 species
UACGGGGGGAGCAAGCGUUGUUCGGAUUUACUGGGCGUAAAGGGCGCGUAGGCGGUCGUGACAAGUCACUUGUGAAAUCUCCGGGCUUAACUCGGAACGGUCAAGUGAUACUGUCGGACUAGAGUACAGAAGGGGCAACUGGAAUUCUCGGUGUAGCGGUGAAAUGCGUAGAUAUCGAGAGGAACACCUGCGGCGAAGGCGGGUUGCUGGGCUGAUACUGACGUGAGGCGCGGAAAGCCAGGGGAGCGAACGGG